AAUCUCGAGACGUGUUUUCCGUGCGGCUCUAUGGACAAGUCCCUUGGAAUAGGGCAUCGUAGAGGGUGAGAAUCCCGUACUUGCCAUGGAAGAACCGUGCUUUGCGAUACACGCUCUAA
rnacentral:rRNA from 1 species